GGGACUUGGGUCCGAGAAAAACAGAAAAACAUCUUUCAGUAACACUGACAAGUUCUUACAAAAAUUCCAACAUUAUUGCAAACAUUGAAUGCAACACUUACCGUAACCUAGCAACUAACCCACAAUGCAUUGUGUUGAGGAGACGCGUUUGAAAAGUUAACAUUAGCAGUUCUAUACAGGCGAAAAGGGCAGCAUGUCUUUUUCUAUCCUGAAACGACAAAUCGGCGAGGAAAACCGUCGGUUUAAUCCUGCGUGGACUGACAAGUAUUUAUUUAUUUACCACCAAGUCCGAACGCCAAACCAAUGCGUUUACUCUGCAACGAGUGCUUUGCAGCGCUGAAAGAUUAUCAUGUCCGAAGACACCACAUUGGAAAAACAUGCUGCGUUUCGGACAAACUUUCCCGAGGGAUGUCAUGAGAGAGCGGCUAUAAUUCAGAGUUUGACUGCAUCUUACAACCGGAGCUGUACUACAAUGAAGCGGACCUGCACAGCUCAGGAAAGGGCCACGAAAAAGAGGCUGUUCACAGACUCAGAAACUGUGAAGGACUGCAUGUUGGCUGUCGUGGAUGAAGUUUUAACGGACGAUAAAGUUAAGACGAGUGUGACAUCUGCUAUCAAACAGGUCUGACACGUCAAACAUUCUCGCCACAGAUGUCUUCGAGACAUGGACUCCAUAGAGAUCAAUAAUUAAACAUGGCUAAUGGGCUGCAGGCUGCAGUCGGGGACAUCUGUCUGACUCUGUGAGGAAACCAGACUGAGCAUGCUCAGUUCAGCCGGAUCACAACGAGGUCAGAGCCUCCAUAUGACCUGCCGACCUCCAAAGACACGACAUCAGCGGAGAUUAAAUAUUAAUGCUACUGAUGUUGAUUCCUCUGAUUCAAUAGUAACUUUGACAUUGAUACUUUAAAAAAAUUAUUUUUUAAACAAUACGACCAAACCUGCUCCGCAUUUUCCAUAAUUCAAGAUAAUUUCAAAACAAAACUCAGAAUAAAGAAUGAGUCCAGGCUAAUGAAAAUGAGUCAGUCCUGGAGUUGAAAUUAA